rnacentral:rRNA from 1 species
GAUGAACGCUGGCGGCGUGCCUAAUACAUGCAAGUCGAGCGAACAGACGAGGAGCUUGCUCCUCUGACGUUAGCGGCGGACGGGUGAGUAACACGUGGAUAACCUACCUAUAAGACUGGGAUAACUUCGGGAAGCCGGAGCUAAUACCGGAUAAUAUAUUGAACCGCAUGGUUCAAUAGUGAAAGACGGUUUUGCUGUCACUUAUAGAUGGAUCCGCGCCGCAUUAGCUAGUUGGUAAGGUAACGGCUUACCAAGGCAACGAUGCGUAGCCGACCUGAGAGGGUGAUCGGCCACACUGGAACUGAGACACGGUCCAGGCUCCUACGGGAGGCAGCAGUAGGGAAUCUUCCGCAAUGGGCGAAAGCCUGACGGAGCAACGCCGCGUGAGUGAUGAAGGUCUUCGGAUCGUAAAACUCUGUUAUUAGGGAAGAACAAAUGUGUAAGUAACUAUGCACGUCUUGACGGUACCUAAUCAGAAAGCCACGGCUAACUACGUG